UACGAAGGGUGCAAACGUUGCUCGGAAUCAUUGGGCGUAAAGCGCACGUAGGCGGCCUCGCAAGUCGGAUGUGAAAUACCUAGGCUCAACCAAGGACGUGCAUCCGAAACUGCAAGGCUUGAGUACAGAAGAGGAUCGCGGAAUUCCCGGUGUAGAGGUGAAAUUCGUAGAUAUCGGGAGGAACACCAGUGGCGAAGGCGGCGAUCUGGGCUGAUACUGACGCUGAGGUGCGAAAGCGUGGGGAGCAAACGGG
rnacentral:rRNA from 1 species